rfam:Trichomonas vaginalis G3, whole genome shotgun sequence.
UGCAUUUAGUUAAGGGGAGUAGAGAUAUGGGUAGAGGUGCAGGGAGCCUUCGGGUUCUCAACUUAUUUCCAAACUUCGAACCUCCUUGUUAGGCAUUUACCUAACUGGAAAUGCUUAAAUGAAUUAGCGUUACAAGUGGGCUCUGACCGGUAAGCGGUCAUGGCGAAAUGGGAUGAACCAUACGUCUGAAUAAGGUGCCGAAAUGUACUAUCACUGAUACCAUAAAGGGAGUCCAUGUAUUUAGACAGCAGGUCGGUGCCCCUAAAAGCAGGUAUCCGCUAAAGAGUGUGUUAAAACUCACCUGCCGAAUACUAGGGCCCCGAAAAUGAAUGGCGCAUAUAGUACUACCGAUCUCAGACAUCAGUUCUAUUGAACUGAGAGUAGGGGGAUGUGGACAUUUUUGUGAAGGUGCAAUGUGAGUUGGACUGGAAGAAUGUCUAUUACAGAUCCUAAUUGAAGUAGCGAUUAUCCAGGCUUGUAUCCUGGGGGCUGAUGAGGAGUAGGGUUUCUGGACAACUUAAACAGAUCCAGAGUUAGUCGAUCCUAAUCUCAAUAAUGGGAGAAAGGGAGUACAGUUGAUAUUCUGUAACUGACAACAGUUCGCGGCAACGCAUACUAUUUUUCUCCGCCAAUCUUAUACCGUUGGUAGGGAUCUCUUUCCUACAUGACAGUACUAAUACCCAGGGAAACUGGUCAUCAGGCGAACUGCGGCGUUCUGCUGGCAAAACAUAGCUUCGGUUAUGUCAAUGGCUAUUGGAUUGGUCCAUGAAGCGAAAAAUAGUUUACUGUGUCACUCGUACCGAUAACCGCAUCAGGUCUUCUAGGUAAGUAGCCUAUGGCCAUUGAGGCAUGAUAGUUCAGGGAAUUCGGCCAAUUAGAGCUGUAACUUCGGGAUAAAGCUUGGCUCUGAUGAAAAUCAGAACCGAUUGUUACGCGGAGAGCCCAACUGUUUAAUAAAAACGUAGUGUCGCGCUGUGGUAGUAUAGCCCAGUGAACGCGACCCCAUGAAUCCCUGCUUCAGUG